rnacentral:rRNA from 1 species
CAUUAAUGAAUUUUGAUUGGGGGUUGAUGCUGGCAGUCACUUCUUUUGGCUGCAUGUGCUUGCCCCUAAUAAUCUUUAUCCAAACACCUGUGCAUGAAUUUCGAGGGUUUCCGGGUUGGUUUUUGCUGUCUUCUCGGAUUCCCUUGUAUUUCCCACUUUUAUACACACUGCUUGCAAUGUCGAAUGUGUUUGUGCCGCAAGGCCAUUAACAAAAUAUACAACUUUUAACAACGGAUCUCUUGGCUCUCGCAUCGAUGAAGAACGCAGCGAAAUGCGAUAAGUAAUGUGAAUUGCAGAAUUCAGUGAAUCAUCGAAUCUUUGAACGCACCUUGCGCUCCCUGGUAUUCCGGGGAGCACGCCUGUUCGAGUGUCGUGAAAUUUCUCAAGCUGAGAUGUUUUUCUUAGUCUUGGUGUUGGGCUCUGCCGUGUCUUUUAUUGGGAUGGCUGGCCUUAAAAGCAUUAGCUGACCCUUAUGUGGGCAAUUGGUUCUACUCAGCGUGAUUAAUGAUUUUGACCGCUGAGGACAUCUUUGGGGAUGGCCAGUUCUCAUUUGGGUUGCUUCUAAUCUUGGUUGUACGGAUUGUUAAUCUGUGCGGCCUCGUUUUUCAGCUUUGACCUCGAAUCAGGUGGGACUACCCGCUGAACUUAAGCAUAUCAAUAAGCGGAGGAAAAGAAACUAACAAGGAUUCCCCUAGUAACGGCGAGUGAAGCGGGAAAAGCUCAAAUUUAAAAUCUGGCAAUCUUUGGUUGUCCGAAUUGUAAUCUAGAGAAGCGUUUUCCGUGCUGGACUGUGUGCAAGUUUCCUGGAUACGGAACAUCAUAGAGGGUGAGAAUCCCGUCCUUCACACAGACUACCAGUGCUUUGUGAUGCGCUCUCGACGAGUCGAGUUG